GAAAGAACAAGAUUUAUCAACUUUCAUCGAUCCGUUUAUAUUGAACACGAGCUCGGAAAUGGAGAUCAGAAAAUGCAUACAGAUUGGUUUAUUGUGUGUUCAAGAAUUUGCUGAAGACAGGCCAAAUAUUUCAUCUGUUCUUGUUAUGCUUACUAGUGAAACAACAAGUCUUCCAGCACCAUCACAACCUGCUUUUACUGAAAGACAUGAUUGUAUCUUCAAAAUGUGCAAUGAAACUAAUUGUACUUUGAACAAUAUCAG
rnacentral:misc_RNA from 1 species